GAUGAACGCUGGCGGCGUGCCUAAUACAUGCAAGUCGAGCGAACAGACUAGGCGCUUGCUCCUCUGACUUUAGCUGCGGACGGGUGAGUAACACGUGGCUAACCUACCUAUAAGACUUUGAUAACUUCGGGAAACCGGAGCUAAUACCGUAUAAUAUAUUUAACCUCAUGUUUCAAUAGUGAAAGACGGUUUUGCUGUCACUUAUAGAUGGAUCCGCGCCGCAUUAGCUAGUUGGUAAGGUAACGGCUUACCAAGGCAACGAUGCGUAGCCGACCUGAGAGGGUGCUGGGCCAAACGGGGAAGUGAAAACGGUCCAGACUCCAAAGGGACGCAGCAAUAAGGAAUGAUACGCAAUGGGCGAAAGCCUGACGGAGGAACGGAGAGCGAGGGAUGAAGGUGUUCGGAAAGAAAAACCCUGCUAUUAGGGAAGAACAAAGGUGUGAGUAAAUAUGCACGUCUUGACGGUACCUAAUCAGAAAGCCAAGGAUAACUACGUG
rnacentral:rRNA from 1 species